rnacentral:rRNA from 1 species
GAUCCUGGCUCAGGACGAACGCUGGCGGCGUGCUUAACACAUGCAAGUCGAACGGGCCCGCCCCUGUUUUUGGGGCUGGGUUGAGUGGCGAACGGGUGAGUAUCACGUGAGUAACCUGCCCCCUGCUCCUGGAUAACUGCUUGAAAGGGCGGCUAAUACGGGGUGUGCCGGCUGGUCCGCAUGGGCCUGGUCGGGAUAGUUUCAUCUUCGGGUGUUUCGGUGGGGGAUGGGCUCGCGGCCUAUCAGCUUGUUGGUGGGGUGAUGGCCCACCAAGGCGGUGACGGGUAGCCGGCCUGAGAGGGUGGGCGGCCACACUGGGACUGAGACACGGCCCAGACUCCUGCGGGAGGCAGCAGUGGGGGGUAUUGCACAAUGGGCGGAAGCCUGAUGCAGCGACGUCGCGUGAGGGAUGGAGGCCUUCGGGUUGUGAACCUCUUUCUCCGGUGGUGAAGGCCCUGUCCGUUGCGGCGGGGUUGACGGUAGCCGGGUAUGAAGCGCCGGCUAACUACGUGCCAGCAGCCGCGGUAAUACGUAGGGCGCGAGCGUUGUCCGGAAUUAUUGGGCGUAAAGGGCUUGUAGGCGGCUGGUCGCGUCUGCCGUGAAAUUCUCCGGCUCAACCGGGGGCUUGCGGUGGGUACGGGCCGGCUGGAGUGCGGUAGGGGAGGCUGGAACUCCUGGUGUAGCGGUGGAAUGCGCAGAUAUCAGGAAGAACACCGGUGGCGAAGGCGGGUCUCUGGGCCGUUACUGACGCUGAGGAGCGAAAGCGUGGGGAGCGAACAGGAUUAGAUACCCUGGUAGUCCACGCCGUAAACGUUGGGCACUAGGUGUGGGGGGCCUUUUCCGGGUCUUCCGCGCCGUAGCUAACGCAUUAAGUGCCCCGCCUGGGGAGUACGGCCGCAAGGCUAAAACUCAAAGGAAUUGACGGGGGCCCGCACAAGCGGCGGAGCAUGCGGAUUAAUUCGAUGCAACGCGAAGAACCUUACCAAGGCUUGACAU